GAUGAACGCUGACAGAAUGCUUAACACAUGCAAGUCUUUGGCGAAGCUGUGCUUGCACAGCCUAGCCAAGGCGGACGGGUGAGUAACGCGUAAGGAACUUGCCCUGCAGUCAGGGAUAACAGACGGAAACGACUGAUAAGACCUGGUAAAGUCAGGCGGACUCAUGUCCAGCCUGAUGAAAAGAGAUGCUGCAGGAGAGCCUUGGGUCCUAUUAGCUUGUUGGUGGGGUAACGGCCCACCAAGGCGAUGAUAGGUAGCCGGCCUGAGAGGGUGGACGGCCACAAGGGGACUGAGAUACGGCCCUUACUCCUACGGGAGGCAGCAGUGGGGAAUAUUGGACAAUGGGGGCAACCCUGAUCCAGCAAUUCGGUGUGCACGAUGAAGGUUUUCGGAUUGUAAAGUGCUUUCAGCAGGGAAGAAAAAAAUGACGGUACCUGCAGAAGAAGCGACGGCUAAAUACGUG
rnacentral:rRNA from 1 species